rnacentral:rRNA from 1 species
UGCGCAGGUGGGCUUGUAAGUCAGUGGUGAAAUACUGCCGCUUAACGGUAGAACUACCAUUGAUACUGCAAGUCUUGAGUAUGGUUGAGGUAGGCGGAAUGUGUUGUGUAGCGGUGAAAUGCAUAGAUAUGACACAGAACUCCAAUUGCGAAGGCAGCUUACUAAGCCAUUACUGACGCUGAGGCACGAAAGCGUGGGGAGCGAACAGGAUUAGAUACCCUGGUAGUCC